CAGGCAAACCAAAACAGAAUGUAUGCAGAGAAUGAUAGUCUAAUGCUCAAGAGUGAAAAUGGCAGAACAGACAGCAGCAAGGGCAAGGGCUUCCCUACCAAAGACAGCAGAAACUGAAACUUUAGCCGAAGUAGCAGACCAUAUGACGGUGGCAGUUGUGGAAUAUACAAACCAGAGUGUGUAUAUUGGAGAAAUGGAGGGAAA